CGAAAGCCUGACGGAGCAAGACCGCGUGAGGGAGGAAGGCUCUUGGGUUGUAAACCUCUUUUGUCAGGGAAGAAUGACGGUACCUGACGAAUCAGCAUCGGCUAACUCCGUGCCAGCAGCCGCGGUAAUACGGAGGAUGCAAGCGUUAUCCGGAAUUAUUGGGCGUAAAGCGUCCGCAGGUGGCUAAUCAAGUCUGCGGUCAAAGACCGGGGCUUAACCCUGGAAAGGCCGUGGAAACUGAUAAAGCUAGAGUACCGUAGGGGUAGAGGGAUUUCCCGGUGUAGCGGUGAAAUGCGUAGAGAUCGGGAAGAACAUCGGUGGCGAAAGCGCUCUACUGGACGGUGACUGACACUCAGGGACGAAAGCUAGGGGAGCGAAUGGGAUU
rnacentral:rRNA from 1 species